AGGAGGCGGUGAAGCGCCGGCGGCGGCCUGAGGUAACCGUAGCCAGUGGCGGAAGUAGUUGAAGCGGCCAGAGCGGGCGGGUGGCAAGGCAAGGCUAGAGCUGCGCAAGGCCCUACACGGCCUCCUCAGCAUGUCGGACUUCGAAGAGUUCGAGCGGCAGCUUAAUGAGAAUAAACAAGAGCGGGACAAAGAGAACCGCCACAGGAAGCGCAGCCACAGCCGCCCUCGAAGCCGGGACCGCAAGCGUCGGAGCCGGAGCCGGCACCGGCGCAACCGGGACCAGCGGAGCGCCUCCCGGGACAGGCGGCGGCGAAGCAAACCUUUGACCAGAGGCGCUAAAGAGGAGCACGGUGGGUUGAUUCGUUCCCCCCGCCAUGAGAAGAAGAAAAAGGUCCGUAAAUACUGGGACGUGCCCCCCCCUGGCUUUGAGCACAUCACUCCAAUGCAGUACAAGGCCAUGCAAGCUGCAGGUCAGAUUCCAGCCACUGCCCUUCUCCCCACCAUGACCCCUGAUGGGCUUGCUGUGACCCCGACGCCCGUGCCUGUGGUGGGGAGCCAGAUGACCAGACAGGCCCGUCGCCUGUAUGUGGGCAAUAUCCCCUUUGGCAUCACUGAGGAGACCAUGAUGGAGUUCUUCAACACCCAGAUGCGCCUGGGGGGGCUGACCCAAGCCCUUGGCAACCCUGUCUUGGCUGUGCAGAUUAACCAAGACAAGAAUUUUGCCUUUUUGGAGUUCCGUUCAGUGGAUGAGACUACCCAGGCCAUGGCCUUCGAUGGCAUCAUCUUCCAAGGCCAGUCACUGAAGAUCCGCCGGCCUCAUGACUACCAGCCGCUGCCUGGCAUGUCAGAGAAUCCCUCUGUCUAUGUUCCUGGAGUUGUGUCCACUGUGGUCCCUGACUCUGCCCACAAGCUGUUCAUUGGGGGCUUACCCAAUUAUCUGAAUGAUGACCAGGUGAAAGAACUGCUGACAUCGUUUGGGCCUCUUAAGGCCUUCAACCUGGUCAAGGACAGUGCCACCGGGCUCUCCAAGGGCUACUCCUUCUGUGAGUACGUGGACAUCAAUGUCACAGAUCAGGCCAUCGCAGGGCUGAAUGGGAUGCAGCUGGGGGAUAAGAAGCUGCUUGUCCAGAGGGCAAGUGUGGGAGCCAAGAAUGCCACGCUGAGCACCAUCAAUCAGACGCCUGUGACCCUACAAGUGCCGGGCCUGAUGAGCUCCCAGGUACAGAUGGGUGGCCACCCCACCGAGGUCCUGUGCCUCAUGAAUAUGGUGCUGCCCGAGGAGCUGCUGGAUGAUGAAGAGUAUGAGGAGAUUGUGGAAGAUGUGCGAGAUGAGUGCAGCAAGUAUGGGCUCGUCAAGUCUAUCGAGAUCCCCCGGCCUGUGGAUGGUGUCGAGGUGCCUGGCUGCGGAAAGAUCUUUGUGGAGUUCACCUCUGUGUUUGACUGCCAGAAAGCCAUGCAGGGCCUGACAGGCCGCAAGUUUGCCAACAGAGUGGUUGUCACAAAGUAUUGUGACCCCGACUCUUACCACCGCCGGGAUUUCUGGUAGAGGUGGGCAAGGGAGGGUGGGGGCAGGGCUAGAUAGGGUCUUCUUCCUCCUCCCAACCCCUUUUUCCCCUCUGAAGAUGAUGGGCAGAGGAGUGACAGUUGAAUGACAGCCAGCAGUAACUGGAAUGGCAGCAAUUAAGGGUGGGGAGGUGGGGGGGGUCGGAGGUUAGAGCAGGGAGGGGACUGGGAAGUGUGCACACAGGCCCUCUCAGACACACACACCCACACAGAUAGAGGGAAGGGGUUGGGAUGGGGUGCACAGCAGUGUGGGUAGGACUCCCAUGGCCCCUCCCAAAACAGCCUCUCCUCCCUUGCCCCCCCCUCCUCUUCCCCAUGGUAGAAGUAUGUUUAUAUGUUAUGGCCAAACUAUUUUGAAUUUUGUUUGAUCCUUAGCGCCCAGCCCUCUUUACCAGGACCACAGCUCCAUUCCUCCAGCCUCUUGUCCUCUCUGACACCCUGGUUUCUUACAUAGUUGACAAUCUCCUCUUAAGUCUCCCUGACCUGUGCCCAGCCCCAUGACCCCUGUCCCUGUCCUCCUCUCUGUGGCAGUUUAAUAUUUGCUAAGAUGAAUUUGCUCAUUAAACAUUUUGUUGUAUUUUUUAAAAAGCAAAAAUAAAAUAAAAU